rnacentral:rRNA from 1 species
AAAAGUAGCUUGCUACCUGACCUAGCGGCGGACGGGUGAGUAAUGCUUAGGAAUCUGCCUAUUAGUGGGGGACAACAUCUCGAAAGGGAUGCUAAUACCGCAUACGUCCUACGGGAGAAAGCAGGGGACCUUCGGGCCUUGCGCUAAUAGAUGAGCCUAAGUCGGAUUAGCUAGUUGGUGGGGUAAAGGCCUACCAAGGCGACGAUCUGUAGCGGGUCUGAGAGGAUGAUCCGCCACACUGGGACUGAGACACGGCCCAGACUCCUACGGGAGGCAGCAGUGGGGAAUAUUGGACAAUGGGGGGAACCCUGAUCCAGCCAUGCCGCGUGUGUGAAGAAGGCCUUUUGGUUGUAAAGCACUUUAAGCGAGGAGGAGGCUACCGAGAUUAAUACUCUUGGAUAGUGGACGUUACUCGCAGAAUAAGCACCGGCUAACUCUGUGCCAGCAGCCGCGGUAAUACAGAGGGUGCAAGCGUUAAUCGGAUUUACUGGGCGUAAAGCGCGCGUAGGUGGCCAAUUAAGUCAAAUGUGAAAUCCCCGAGCUUAACUUGGGAAUUGCAUUCGAUACUGGUUGGCUAGAGUAUGGGAGAGGAUGGUAGAAUUCCAGGUGUAGCGGUGAAAUGCGUANAGAUCUGGAGGAAUACCGAUGGCGAAGCAGCCAUCUGGCCUAAUACUGACACUGAGGUGCGAAAGCAUGGGGACAAACAGGAUUAGAUACCUGGUAU